AAGCAAUUAACUUAAAAGGUAGAGUGUUUCAUUUACAUUGAAAAUGUUAUUGGUUCGAAUCCAUUAUUGCUUA
rnacentral:tRNA from 1 species